rnacentral:rRNA from 1 species
UACGUAGGGUCCGAGCGUUGUCCGGAAUUACUGGGCGUAAAGAGCUCGUAGGUGGUUUGUCGCGUUGUCCGUGAAAACUCACAGCUCAACUGUGGGCGUGCGGGCGAUACGGGCAGACUGGAGUACUGCAGGGGAGACUGGAAUUCCUGGUGUAGCGGUGGAAUGCGCAGAUAUCAGGAGGAACACCGGUGGCGACAGCGGGUCUCUGGGCCUUGCCUGACACUGAGGAGCGAAAGCGUGGGGAGCGAACAGG